UAAUACGUAGGUGGCAAGCGUUAUCCGGAAUUAUUGGGCGUAAAGAGGGAGCAGGCGGCAAUAGAGGUCUGUGGUGAAAGACUGAAGCUUAACUUCAGUAAGCCAUGGAAACCAAAUAGCUAGAGUGCAUUAGAGGAUCGUGGAAUUCCAUGUGUAGCGGUGAAAUGCGUAGAUAUAUGGAGGAACACCAGUGGCGAAGGCGACGAUCUGGGAUGCAACUGACGCUCAGUCCCGAAAGCGUGGGGAGCAAAUAGGAUUAGAUACCCUAGUAGUCCACGCCGUAAACGAUGAGUACUAAGUGUUGGAUGUCAAAGUUCAGUGCUGCAGUUAACGCAAUAAGUACUCCGCCUGAGUAGUACGUUCGCAAGAAUG
rnacentral:rRNA from 1 species